rnacentral:misc_RNA from 1 species
AUGAAGAACGUAGCGAAAUGCGAUAAGUAGUGUGAAUUGCAGAAUUCAGUGAAUCAUCGAAUCUUUGAACGCACAUUGCGCCCUUUGGUAUUCCAAAGGGCAUGCCUGUUCGAGCGUCAUUUGUACCCUCAAGCUUUGCUUGGUGUUGGGCGUCUUGUCUCUAGCUUUGCUGGAGACUCGCCUUAAAGUAAUUGGCAGCCGGCCUACUGGUUUCGGAGCGCAGCACAAGUCGCACUCUCUAUCAGCAAAGGUCUAGCAUCCAUUAAGCCUUUUUUUCAACUUUUGACCUCGGAUCAGGUAGGGAUACCCGCUGAACUUAAGCAUAUCAAUAAGCGGAGGA